CAGCACCUCAAGUGGUCAGGAUGAUUAUUGGGCCUAAAGCAUCCGUAGCUGGCUCUGUAAGUUUUCGGUUAAAUCUGUACGCUCAACGUACAGGCUGCCGGGAAUACUGCAGCGCUAGGGAGUGGGAGAGGUAGACGGUACUCGGUAGGAAGGGGUAAAAUCCUUUGAUCUAUUGAUGACCACCUGUGGCGAAGGCGGUCUACCAGAACACGUCCGACGGUGAGGGAUGAAAGCUGGGGGAGCAAACCGGAUUAGAUACCCGAGUAGUCC
rnacentral:rRNA from 1 species